GUGCUCGCUUCAGCAGCACAUAUACUAAAAUUGGAAUGAUACAGAGAUUAGCAUGGCCCUGUGCAAGUAUGAAACACAAUUGGUGAAGCGUUCCAUAUUUUC